AUACUUACCUGGCGUCGGGGCAUACCGUGAUCAAGAAGGUGCGUGCGCUCCAGGACGAGGGCCUGUUACAUUGCACUUCGUAUGGGCCUGACUCCUGCGACUUACCCCAAACGGGGUGGCUCGAGCGCAUAAUAAUUUUGGUAGUGGGGACAAGCGUUCGCGCUGUCCCUU
rnacentral:snRNA from 1 species